GCCUAACACAUGCAAGUCGAGCGGAAACGAGAAGUAGCUUGCUACUUCGGCGUCGAGCGGCGGACGGGUGAGUAAUGCCUAGGAAGUUGCCCAGUAGAGGGGGAUAACCAUUGGAAACGAUGGCUAAUACCGCAUAUUCUCUUUGGAGCAAAGCAGGGGACCUUCGGGCCUUGCGCUAUUGGAUACGCCUAGGUGGGAUUAGCUAGUUGGUGAGGUAAUGGCUCACCAAGGCAACGAUCCCUAGCUGGUCUGAGAGGAUGAUCAGCAACACUGGAACUGAGACACGGUCCAGACUCCUACGGGAGGCAGCAGUGGGGAAUAUUGCACAAUGGGCGAAAGCCUGAUGCAGCCAUGCCGCGUGUAUGAAGAAGGCCUUCGGGUUGUAAAGUACUUUCAGUCGUGAGGAAGGGGGUAAGCUUAAUACGCUUAUCUCUUGACGUUAGCGACAGAAGAAGCACCGGCUAACUCCGUGCCAGCAGCCGCGGUAAUACGGAGGGUGCGAGCGUUAAUCGGAAUUACUGGGCGUAAAGCGCAUGCAGGUGGUUCAAUAAGUCAGAUGUGAAAGCCCGGGGCUCAACCUCGGAACUGCAUUUGAAACUGUUGGACUAGAGUACUGUAGAG
rnacentral:rRNA from 1 species